rnacentral:rRNA from 1 species
CAACUUUCAGCAACGGACCUCUUGGCUCUCCCAUCG